rnacentral:rRNA from 1 species
GAUGAACGCUGGCGGCGUGCCUAAUACAUGCAAGUCGAGCGAACGGACGAGAAGCUUGCUUCUCUGAUGUUAGCGGCGGACGGGUGAGUAACACGUGGAUAACCUACCUAUAAGACUGGGAUAACUUCGGGAAACCGUAGCUAAUACCGGAUAAUAUUUUGAACCGCAUGGUUCAAAAGUGAAAGACGGUCUUGCUGUCACUUAUAGAUGGAUCCGCGCUGCAUUAGCUAGUUGGUAAGGUAACGGCCUACCAAGGCAACGAUGCAUAGCCGACCUGAGAGGGUGAUCGGCCACACUGGAACUGAGACACGGUCUAGACUCCUACGGGAGGCAGCAGUAGGGAAUCUUCCGCAAUGGGCGAAAGCCUGACGGAGCAACGCCGCGUGAGUGAUGAAGGUCUUCGGAUCGUAAAACUCUGUUAUUAGGGAAGAACAGAUGUGUAAGUAACUGUGCACAUCUUGACGGUACCUAAGCAGAAAGCCACGGCUAACUACGU